AGACGGGAACGAGAGCAUCGGAAACGAGGUUGGAAGAAAACACAAAAGCAAAGAAGGCAAGGUUUUUCAUUCUUCUUUUUUCAAACGAAACCCCGCGCUCGCUCUUGCUUGAAAAAGAAAGAAAGAAAAGUAA
rnacentral:ribozyme from 1 species